rnacentral:rRNA from 1 species
ACCUCUAAAGGAAGCACCGGCUAACUCCGUGCCAGCAGCCGCGGUAAUACGGAGGGUGCAAGCGUUGUUCGGAAUCACUGGGCGUAAAGGGCGCGCAGGCGGCCUGAUCAGUCAGAUGUGAAAGCCCACGGCUUAACUGUGGAAGUGCAUUUGAAACUGUCAGGCUUGAGUACCAGAGGGGAAAGUGGAAUUCCCGGUGUAGAGGUGAAAUUCGUAGAUAUCGGGAGGAAUACCGGUGGCGAAGGCGACUUUCUGGCUGGAUACUGACGCUGAGGCGCGAAAGCGUGGGGAGCAAACAGGAUUAGAUACCCUGGUAGUCCACGCUGUAAACGAUGUGCACUAGAUGUAGGGGGUGUUGAUCCCCUCUGUGUCGCAGCUAACGCAUUAAGUGCACCGCCUGGGGAGUACGGUCGCAAGAUUAAAACUCAAAGGAAUUGACGGGGG